UACGAAGGGUGCAAGCGUUAAUCGGAAAUACUGGGCGUAAAGCGCACGUAGGCGGCUCAGCAAGUCAGAGGUGAAAUCCCAGGGCUCAACCCUGGAACUGCCUUUGAAACUGCUAGGCUAGAAUCAUGGAGAGGUCAGUGGAAUUCCGAGUGUAGAGGUGAAAUUCGUAGAUAUUCGGAAGAACACCAGUGGCGAAGGCGACUGACUGGACAUGUAUUGACGCUGAGGUGCGAAAGCGUGGGGAGCAAACAGG
rnacentral:rRNA from 1 species